rnacentral:rRNA from 1 species
UAUAAUGGGUCAGCGACUUAUAUUCUGUAGCAAGGUUAACCGAAUAGGGGAGCCGGAGGGAAACCGAGUCUUAAUUGGGCGUUAAGUUGCAGGGUAUAGACCCGAAACCCGGUGAUCUAGCCAUGGGCAGGUUGAAGGUUGGGUAACACUAACUGGAGGACCGAACCGACUAAUGUUGAAAAAUUAGCGGAUGACCUGUGGCUGGGGGUGAAAGGCCAAUCAAACCGGGAGAUAGCUGGUUCUCCCCGAAAGCUAUUUAGGUAGCGCCUCGUGAAUUCAUCUCCGGGGGUAGAGCACUGUUUCGGCUAGGGGGCCAUCCCGGCUUACCAACCCGAUGCAAACUGCGAAUACCGGAGAAUGUUAUCACGGGAGACACACGGCGGGUGCUAACGUCCGUCGUGAAGAGGGAAACAACCCAGACCGCCAGCUAAGGUCCCAAAGUCAUGGUUAAGUGGGAAACGAUGUGGGAAGGCCCAGACAGCCAGGAUGUUGGCUUAGAAGCAGCCAUCAUUUAAAGAAAGCGUAAUAGCUCACUGGUCGAGUCGGCCUGCGCGGAAGAUGUAACGGGGCUAAACCAUGCACCGAAGCUGCGGCAGCGACGCUGAUGCGUUGUUGGGUAGGGGAGCGUUCUGUAAGCCUGCGAAGGUGGCCUGUGAGGGUUGCUGGAGGUAUCAGAAGUGCGAAUGCUGACAUAAGUAACGAUAAAGCGGGUGAAAAGCCCGCUCGCCGGAAGACCAAGGGUUCCUGUCCAACGUUAAUCGGGGCAGGGUGAGUCGACCCCUAAGGCGAGGCCGAAAGGCGUAGUCGAUGGGAAACGGGUUAAUAUUCCCGUACUUGGUGUUACUGCGAAGGGGGGACGGAGAAGGCUAUGUUGGCCGGGCGACGGUUGUCCCGGUUUAAGCGUGUAGGUGUGUGUUCCAGGUAAAUCCGGUUCACUUUAACACUGAGGCGUGAUGACGAGGCACUACGGUGCUGAAGCAACAAAUGCCCUGCUUCCAGGAAAAGCCUCUAAGCAUCAGGUAACAUCAAAUCGUACCCCAAACCGACACAGGUGGUCAGGUAGAGAAUACCAAGGCGCUUGAGAGAACUCGGGUGAAGGAACUAGGCAAAAUGGUGCCGUAACUUCGGGAGAAGGCACGCUGACACGUAGGUGAAGUGAUUUACUCAUGGAGCUGAAGUCAGUCGAAGAUACCAGCUGGCUGCAACUGUUUAUUAAAAACACAGCACUGUGCAAACACGAAAGUGGACGUAUACGGUGUGACGCCUGCCCGGUGCCGGAAGGUUAAUUGAUGGGGUCAGCGCAAGCGAAGCUCCUGAUCGAAGCCCCGGUAAACGGCGGCCGUAACUAUAACGGUCCUAAGGUAGCGAAAUUCCUUGUCGGGUAAGUUCCGACCUGCACGAAUGGCGUAAUGAUGGCCAGGCUGUCUCCACCCGAGACUCAGUGAAAUUGAACUCGCUGUGAAGAUGCAGUGUACCCGCGGCAAGACGGAAAGACCCCGUGAACCUUUACUAUAGCUUGACACUGAACAUUGAGCCUUGAUGUGUAGGAUAGGUGGGAGGCUUUGAAGUGUGGACGCCAGUCUGCAUGGAGCCGGCCUUGAAAUACCACCCUUUAAUGUUUGAUGUUCUAACGUGGACCCGUGAUCCGGGUUGCGGACAGUGUCUGGUGGGUAGUUUGACUGGGGCGGUCUCCUCCUAAAGAGUAACGGAGGAGCACGAAGGUUGGCUAAUCCUGGUCGGACAUCAGGAGGUUAGUGCAAUGGCAUAAGCCAGCUUGACUGCGAGCGUGACGGCGCGAGCAGGUGCGAAAGCAGGUCAUAGUGAUCCGGUGGUUCUGAAUGGAAGGGCCAUCGCUCAACGGAUAAAAGGUACUCCGGGGAUAACAGGCUGAUACCGCCCAAGAGUUCAUAUCGACGGCGGUGUUUGGCACCUCGAUGUCGGCUCAUCACAUCCUGGGGCUGAAGUAGGUCCCAAGGGUAUGGCUGUUCGCCAUUUAAAGUGGUACGCGAGCUGGGUUUAGAACGUCGUGAGACAGUUCGGUCCCUAUCUGCCGUGGGCGCUGGAGAACUGAGGGGGGCUGCUCCUAGUACGAGAGGACCGGAGUGGACGCAUCACUGGUGUUCGGGUUGUCAUGCCAAUGGCACUGCCCGGUAGCUAAAUGCGGAAGAGAUAAGUGCUGAAAGCAUCUAAGCACGAAACUUGCCCCGAGAUGAGUUCUCCCUGAGACUUAGAGUCUCCUGAAGGAACGUUGAAGACGACGACGUUGAUAGGCCGGGUGUGUAAGCGCAGCGAUGCGUUGAGCUAA